ACCGAUUUAGCUCAAUGGUAGAGCUCCCGAAAGGAAAGGAGGUGGUUCAAAUCCACCCAUUGGUA
rfam:Phytophthora infestans T30-4 supercont1.3256 genomic scaffold, whole genome shotgun sequence.